rnacentral:lncRNA from 1 species
GGAGGACUGAGCGCUUAAUCUGUGGGAUCUGACGCUAUCUCCAGGUGGAUGUUGUCAGAAUUGAAUUAUAGGACACUCACCUGGUGUGAUGGAGAACUGCUUGCUGUGGGGAAAAAGCCACACGCAUUUGGUGACCAGAAGUGAAGGGUUCUAUGUGAGAAGUAAAGAAAACACACAGGUGGAAAACUGAGUUUUUCUAAAAUACUAAGUAAUUCACAAAUUUAAAAGAAAUACCAAAAAGGAUACAUAGGAAGUUAAUCACAAUGGUUGCCUGGAAGGAGGAGAAUUCAGUAGCUGGGGGGCAAGAAUAAGAGGAAGAUCAGCCCUGAGCCAGUCCUCCUCUUUUUGCUGAGGAAGACUGGCCCUGAGCUAACAUCCAUGCCCAUCUUCCUCUACUUUAUAUGUGAGAUGCCUACCACAGCAUGGCUUGCCAAGCGGUGCCAUGUCUGCACCCAAGAUCCGAACCGGCAAACCCUGGGCCACCGAGAAGGGGAACAUUCGAGCUUAACCACUGUGCCACCGGGCCGGCCCCCACUUAUUUUUUAAGCACGUUUAUUUAAAUUCUGAAUUUGUUUCACAGGGAACACGUCUUACUUUUGUAACCAGAAAAAAAAUAACAAAGGCUGUUGUUUGUGUCUUUCUUUUUUUUCCUGGAACAAUGGCCAUUCAAGAAUCCCAAAAGGAACUUCCAGGGGUUACUAAUGAAGCCGAGCAGAGAAGGAGAGAGCAUCCUUCCUCACUGGCUGCCUGGGAAGGGGGAUUGACUGCAAACGGGCACUGGGAUCUUUGCGGGGGGUGGUAAGAAAUGGUCUACAAUCCAAUUGUGGUUAUGGUUGCACAACUCUGUAAAUUUGCUAAAACUCAUUGCAUUAUAUACUUA